ACGGAAGGCAGCAGUGAGGAGUAUUGGUCAAUGGGCGGAAGCCUGAACCAGCCAAGUCGCGUGAAGGAAGAAGGUAUUAUGUAUUGUAAACUUCUUUAGACGUAGAGAAAUAAGUGCCUCGUGAGGCAUGAUGCUAGUAUACGUAGAAUAAGGAUCGGCUAACUCCGUGACAGCAGCCGCGGUAAUACGGAGGAUCCGAGCGUUAUCCGGAUUUAUUGGGUUUAAAGGGUGCGCAGGCGGUUUUUUAAGUCAGUGGUUAAAUAGGGGGGCUCACCCUCACCCCGCCAUUGAUACUGGGAGACUUGAUUGCGGUCGAGGUUGGCGGAAUUCGCCGUGUAGCGGUGAAAUGCAUAGAUAUGGCGAAGAACUCCGAUUGCGUAGGCAGCUGACCAGGCCGUAAAUGACGCUCAUGCACGAAAGUGCGGGGAUCGAACAGGAUUAGAUACCCUGGUA
rnacentral:rRNA from 1 species